AGUUUAUUGAAGUGUUAGUGCUCAAACUUCUUGAAAAUGAAAGUUGUACAUGUCGUUUUGGUUUUGUCUCUGAUUGUGGGAUUGGCUUUGUGCCAAGAUCCUGCUGGAAUGGCCUCAAAUAUGGCUGGCAAGGCGCAAGACACUGCAGGAAAUGCUAAGGACACUGCUGGACAAAUGCCCGAUGCUGCUGCUAACGGUGCAGGACAAGCAGCAGGAAUGGCAGGAUCAAUGGGCUAGUCAAUAAUUUCGGACAAUGUAAUUACAACUGUAUAAUAAAGUGUUGAUGUAGCAAA